rnacentral:lncRNA from 10 species
UCCGUCAGUGAGAGGACAGUUUGUAUGUGGGGAGGACCCAUUAGAGCUAAUGGGAGCUACAGAAGUAAAUCCCCAGGCUCCGAUAGGGGAAAAGGUCCCCUGGGGUUUUCCACCAAGAACCCAUACACUGUGAUAGACACUUGGGAGCCAGAAAGUCUUUACUCAUUAGUACAGUCCCACUCGGGGAGUGAUUUGCAACCUCACCCCAAAUAUGAGAGAUUGAACUAGUCUAUCUUUGCCAUGACAUCUAUAGACUUCCAUGGUUUUUUUGUUUUUGUUUUUUGUUUUUUAAGACAAAUGCCAUUUUAAUUUGCUUUAGGCGGUGAAGGCCAACACACAUUUCAGUGGAGAAAGCUAUGUGUUUUAAUUGCCUUAUGAAGACAUAGCAUAUGCCCUGACACAGUUAAAUGAUUAACAGAUUACUCCAAAUGUCUUUG